rnacentral:rRNA from 1 species
CUGCGGAAGGAUCAUUACCGAGUGCGGGCCCUCUGGGUCCAACCUCCCAUCCGUGUCUAUCUGUACCCUGUUGCUUCGGCGUGGCCACGGCCCGCCGGAGACUAACAUUUGAACGCUGUCUGAAGUUUGCAGUCUGAGUUUUUAGUUAAACAAUCGUUAAAACUUUCAACAACGGAUCUCUUGGUUCCGGCAUCGAUGAAGAACGCAGCGAAAUGCGAUAAUUAAUGUGAAUUGCAGAAUUCAGUGAAUCAUCGAGUCUUUGAACGCACAUUGCGCCCCCUGGUAUUCCGGGGGGCAUGCCUGUCCGAGCGUCAUUGCUGCCCUCAAGCACGGCUUGUGUGUUGGGCUUCCGUCCCUGGCAACGGGGACGGGCCCAAAAGGCAGUGGCGGCACCAUGUCUGGUCCUCGAGCGUAUGGGGCUUUGUCACCCGCUCCCGUAGGUCCAGCUGGCAGCUAGCCUCGCAACCAAUCUUUUUAACCAGGUUGACCUCGGAUCAGGUAGGGAUACCCGCUGAACUUAAGCAUAUCAAUAAGCGGAGGAAAU